rnacentral:rRNA from 1 species
GAUGAACGCUGGCGGCGUGCCUAAUACAUGCAAGUCGAGCGAACAGACGAGGAGCUUGCUCCUUUGACGUUAGCGGCGGACGGGUGAGUAACACGUGGGUAACCUACCUAUAAGACUGGGAUAACUUCGGGAAACCGGAGCUAAUACCGGAUAAUAUUUCGAACCGCAUGGUUCGAUAGUGAAAGAUGGCUCUGCUAUCACUUAUAGAUGGACCUGCGCCGUAUUAGCUAGUUGGUAAGGUAACGGCUUACCAAGGCAACGAUACGUAGCCGACCUGAGAGGGUGAUCGGCCACACUGGAACUGAGACACGGUCCAGACUCCUACGGGAGGCAGCAGUAGGGAAUCUUCCGCAAUGGGCGAAAGCCUGACGGAGCAACGCCGCGUGAGUGAUGAAGGUCUUCGGAUCGUAAAACUCUGUUAUUAGGGAAGAACAAACGUGUAAGUAACUGUGCACGUCUUGACGGUACCUAAUCAGAAAGCCACGGCUAACUAC